AUUGAACGCUGGCGGCAGGCCUAACACAUGCAAGUCGAACGAGUGGCGGACGGGUGAGUAAUGUCUGGGAAACUGCCCGAUGGAGGGAGCUAACUACUGGAAACGGUAGCUAAUACCGCAUACCAUCGGAUGUGCCCAGAUGGGAUUAGCGAGUAGGUGGGGUAACGGCUCACCUAGGCGACGAUCCCUAGCUGGGCUGAGAGGAUGACAAGCAACACGGGAAGUGAGACACGGUCCAGGCUACUACGGGAGGCAGCAGUGGGGAAGAUUGGACAAUGGGCGCAAGUCUGAUGCAGCCAUGCCGAGUGUAUGAAGAAGGCCUUCGGGUGGUAAAGUACUUUCAGCGAGGAGGCGUUACUCGCAGAAGAAGCACCGGCUAACUCCGUGCCAGCAGCCGCGGUAAUUC
rnacentral:rRNA from 1 species